rnacentral:pre_miRNA from 1 species
ACAAGAUUCGGACUGUCGGUCUAUCGAGCAAUUUCAUCCGCUCUGCCGAUGAUCUUCCCUUUCUCAU